rnacentral:rRNA from 1 species
GGAUUAGAUACCCUGGUAGUCCACGCCGUAAACGAUGUCAACUAGGUGUUGGGUAGAUUUACUACUCGGUGCCGUAGCUAACGCGUUAAGUUGACCGCCUGGGGAGUACGGCCGCAAGGUUGAAACUCAAAGGAAUUGACGGGGGCCCGCACAAGCGGUGGAGCAUGUGGUUUAAUUCGAUGCUACGCGAAGAACCUUACCAGCUCUUGACAUUCACGGAACUUUCCAGAGAUGGAUUGGUGCCUUCGGGAACCGUGGGACAGGUGCUGCAUGGCUGUCGUCAGCUCGUGUCG